GAAAUUCUGUAUAUUUUUAACAACUUUGCAGCUGCUGCAAUCUCUUGGUUGUUGUUUAAAUUUGCUGAUAAAGCUAUUUGAGGAGGAGGGACAGUGGUAGACUCCUGAGGAGUCUGAAGAGAAAGGCACAGGCCUCUCCCUCCUUUCACCCAUGCACUCAAUGACUUGGAUUUCUUUGUAACUUAAGCCGGUGGGACACAACCAUGUGUCUUGGUCUUGGGGCUCACACUGGUUGCUUUUUUUUUUUUUUUUUUUUUUUAAACCCUCUCUGCCCAAGAAAAUUCUGAAUUGGUUUACUAAACUGUCCUGACUCUUGUGCUGAAGUCUGAGUUUGUAAGCCCACAUCUUUGAAAAGGGUUGUCAGACUGGAUGAUCAAGAUGGGCCCUUCGAGUCCUGAAGCCUAUGGAGCUCUGAUCUAAAAUGACAUGAUCACACACCACUUUCCCCUCAGCGAUGCUGACUUCAGUGCACCAGGAGUCACCAAACAAGGAUUUUGGAAGAUGCAUAUGAUUUACCAGUCUACUAUGCUAACAUCAUUUUGACAGAAGUGAAAUGAAUAUUGAUGAAAGAAAGGAAAAUAAAGGUUUUUGAAGAUUCAUAGAAAAAGAAUGCAUUUCCCAGAAUCAUCAGUCUCCAGGGUGACUGUACUCUUACAGCCAUGCUUGUGAAGAGAGGAGGUCCUUAAGCACUGCCCACCUCCUGUCUGUGCUUUGACAGCUGCCCUAAUGCAAUCAGGAGCCAGCAGAAAUCAAGAAGUACAAAUGAAACACAUCUGUAUGAUUGCUGUUUUCCCAGAGAAGAGCUGAAAUGCAACUGCUAAGGAGAAGUCAUAAACAUUUUACUUUUUUGGUUAUUUACUAGAACAAGAAGUCUCUGCUUUCCUUUUUUCAUCCAAGAUGGCACUAUGGAUAAUUUGUAAUUUAGAAGAUUUAGAACAUUUCACCUACUAAGUAUGAUAAAUACAAGCAACCAACAGAGGAAAAGUUACAUUUUAUUUCUUAUGGCAGAUUGUUGUAUUAUGCUUUGCUGAAAUAUAUACAAUUAAAUUGUCCAUCAACUAUUUUAUCAGCAACUCAUUAGAAGAAACUGUACAUUUAAAAUAGAGUAAUAAUGAACUUAGAUACAUUUUUUCAGCACAGCUGAGAGACUGCUUUCCAGUGCUGCCAUAUAAGGUAAUCAGGAAACACUGGACCCUGGUUCUGCUUAUUCAAGUGUAACCAAGAUUUGGAGUUUCCAAGUCCACUUUAAAAACCUUUAACUACUUAAAGCAUUGGAAUAAAGCUGACCACAAAGAUGGAAAAGAGAUGGAAGAGUGAGAAGAAGGAAAAAGAAGUUUUGAAGCAGAGACCAGAAAAAGAAAGACUGCGAAUGAUUUUGAAGCUCAUACAAGAUGUAGAAUGCCAAUCUCUUCUCUGUGUUCUAGAGGAGCUUUAAACAGCAAGCAAUAGAGUUGGCCAACUGAAGCACAUUAUUCAGCUGUGUUCUCUUUGGAGAUAACUGGUAAUUCUGAAAGGGAGAUGAGGAAGAAAGAAAGAAAGCUAUAACUUCUUGGUUUGUAAAUCUGCUGGUGAUAUAGUGAACUUAGAUUAAUUUCACAGCUCAAUCUUGAUAGUUAAAGUUGUGUUUUGUGUUUGAUCAUCCUAGGCCUGAGAACAUCCCUGUUAACCUUGUUGCAGCUCUCAACAAUGUAAAAAAAACUUCCUACCAAAUUAUAUUUUUAAUACACCUUAUGAUUUGGUAUAGAUAUGAAGGUAGAUGAAGAGGACAUAAAGAGAUACGUAGAAAAAGACCCAUAGUCCUUAAAAGGAGUUUUGCUCACUUCUGUAAAGGGACUGCAACAGUCCUUGUAGUAUUUUUUUUUGCAGGUGCUAUAAGAAUUACUCUGAAUGGCAGAAGAUGAACUUUGGCAGAAAAUACAGCGGAAACUUCAGCAGCUUAGGCAUGGUUAUAUACAGGUCUCAAUUGCUUUUAACUGAAGUCUUGUUUUGUUGUCUACAAAGGUUGUCUUGCUUUCAGAAAAGUAUGAGCUAUGUUUCAAUGAGACAGAAUUCUGAAAAAAAAAAAAAAGUUUGAUGUUAUUUACAUUCACUGUAACUAAUCUGAAUCACUGAUUCUGGUUGGGACUGACAUCCCUGUCUAAGUCCCAAACCUAGUAUGAUUUUGUAUGUAGAGCCAGUUUAAAGUCACAGGCUCAGCUAGGUCUAGCUAGAACUGAUGAAGGAUAGAAGAUACAGAUUAAACAUUUUUCUCUAUUGUGAGACUAUAAAUAAAAAAUUGAAUGUGACCUUAUAACCAAAUGAUUUAUUCAUUGCUAUAUUAUUGAUAUCAAUGUGAAAUGUGUUACUUUGCUGAGAAAGGGAAGGAUUUUGUGAGGAUACUGAAUGGUUGUUUUUUUUUUAGUGUCCUUAAAGUACAAACUGAUGGGGUCUGCUUCCUCUGUAGAAAUGGUAGUUUUCACUCAAAAGAAUAAAUGCUGUCACUUUAUGCUUCACAACUCUAGAAUGUUUCAGUUGUAGUGAAAACCCAGGAGUUUCUUGGCUUUUUGCUUUUAGUGGAGGACACAUUACUCUGUGAGAGACUUUACUUGGACAAAAUAACAUAGAAAAUGUUAACUUAGAAAAUAGACCAAAUAAUCUGCCACAGCUGUAGUUGUUUUUGUUUUGUUUUGUUUUUUACAAAUCAGCAAUGAACAAUUUGAUCUAAUUCAGAAAUAAUCAAAGGCUGCAUAAAUAUUUGGCUGCUACAAGUUUAAAAUAGUACCACGAUAAAAUUUCACGUACACAUGUCUUCUAAGAACAUAUUUCUUGUAAAUUUCACUGCACUGAAUAAUAACUUGAAUUAUUUUUAUCAGUACAAAAGUAAGUCUCCCUACACUACUCUAUUUUUUAUUAACAAUCACUUUUUAAUCUGUAUAUACUAUAUACAGCUAGUAGCUCUUUCAUUUUUGUACUUUCAAUCUGCUUCACAGGGUAUUAAUUAUGCACAAGUUGGCUACAUCUCUUCUGUCAUACCGAACAGCCACAUCUGCAUUUAAUCAUUCAUUAUAUGCUGUAAUCUACCACCUAACUUCCAGUCACUUUUACUAUCUAAAAGCAAGUAGGAGGUACUUAAGAAUCUAUCCCUGAAUAUCUAAUUGCAUACUUAACUGAUUAGUUUUAUAUGACAGUCUCUUAUAAACAUGCUAAUAAGUUGAAGACUCUUAAUUUGUACCUACAUGCUACUGAUUUCUGUAUGAUUAUACAUAAUGAACUCAUCAUGAUCACACUUAGUGCUGCUCUUCUGAGAAUCAUGAAAAUAAAUGCAGAGUUUGGAGAGAAGGAUGUAGACAAAGGCAGAAAUGAUCAGUAAUAUGUUGCUUUGUAAGAGAUUUGAUGAGAAACUUCAUACAGGUUUGCUUUGAGAAAUGGCUUAUUCCAAAUAGUUCAAGAGGAAAUAAAAGGACCAUGAAAACCUGGACAAUGAGGUAAACAAAAGUGAAAAGAAUCCACACAGAUGCUGUUUUACACCUAGCUCAACUAAUAACACCCAUCAUGCUCAGAGAUACAGGAAAAAGUGAAUCCAUGCCAAAUAAACCACCUCAGGUGUCAGUACUGGUGACUUCUAGUUACUUCCAAGCAUCUCAGUUAUUCACAGAACAGAGGCAAUGGGAGAGGUCCAAAGGAACUCUGUAUUGCCAUGUCACUGCUUUUCUGAGUAUUUCAAUACCUCCAUUAAAGUAAUGCCAUUACUAUGACCAAUUCACAAGCUUGAUUGAAAUUUCUUUAACAAUGUACAAUGUUGCAGACAGGAUGAGGUUAUCCAUUCCACCUCUGCUUUUUCUAGGGCAAUAGCUGAGAAAGGGAGUUUUAAAGGUAAACAGAAAUCUGAGGUAAUUCCUAAAGAAAAUGAACACUUACUAACUUUAAAGUAGUUAUUGUUAUACAAAGUGAGUUUUUGGGGUUAGCACAAAAGAAGAACAGCAUUUAAGGUCAAUAAAGGUGCAAUACUUUCCAUUGUUCACUGCAUUUCUACAUAAGUCUUAGAAACAGCACAAUCUGUAGCUCUCUUAUACAUAUAGGUAGCCUCUGGAGCUAUAUCACGGUUGUCCGUGAUUUUUCACUUGUUAUUAAAGGGCAUGAAUUCUUCCAAAGGGCAAGGCUAGUGCAUUUACUCAGACUCCUACGCAAAUUGUCCCAGGAUCCUAAUUUGAUGUACCUCAGUGGAAAGUGAUUAGGGUCAGAGGACUUAAGCUGUAUUCUAACACAUAUUAGAUUUAAAUAAUCCUGUCUCAUCUCUUCUGGCUCCUAACCAGUUUAUUUUAACACUAAGUGAGUUUGUUUGUAAAGUCUAAAUGAAUUUUAACAGCUUCUAGUGACAUUUUACUAGAAAACAGAAAAACUGUAGCAAUUCAGGUUCCAAAGUGUAUCAGCGUUCAAUUUUUGAGGGUUUCUCAGUAGACUGAACUUUCCAGAGAUCCUUAUCAUUCAUAUAAAAUAGAUUGGGAUAAUAUCCUCAGAGUUAAUCUAUUUAAAAUGAAUAGUGAUCUUAGAUCCUUUCGGCAUUGGAUUUGUUAAGAAGAAAGUGAUAUUACUGCAGAGUUAGUCCCACUUCCAAGGCCAUGCAAUGGCUUUUCUCAAGCAAUUAAGAAGCUGUACAACUUCUACCUUUAAGAUAACUGUGGAAGAUAUAAUCUUUUAAGAUUAGACUACUCUACUGAUAGAAUUUAUCUUCUUUUCUCUCAUUAAAUAUUUUAAGAUUCUAAUUAACAGACCCUAUUCAAGAAUUUCUGAGAUGAAUGAAGGCAUAUUCAUAUUUUCUGAGAGCACUUUAUUCAGUCUUAUUUUAAAAGCCUAAAUUACAUAUAAGGUAUAUAUGUGUUUUUAAAUACAUUAGUCAGAAGGAAAUGAGUAAUAAUGCUGCACUGUAUUGUGCUGAUCUGUCCAGGCAUAGAAGAGGAUAAGUUGCUAUAUUUAUUGAUGCAAAACUUGUGGAUAACCUUGGUAAACCUUGCAUUUCCUCUGCAAUAGCUACAAAUGGUGGUUAAUGUUAAGCGAGAAAUUUGCAGAAAGCUUAUUAAAAACACAGCCUGUUUCUGCAGACUUUGUUUCACUUUGACAUUUUAACCACAGUUUACCAGGAUGUGUCAAAACUUCUUGACUAGUCAUAGCAAUCUCCUCAGAAAAUAUGAGGAAAAGGUUUCUGUGCUCUUUCUUUCUUUCCUCCUUCUUUCUCUAUCCAUAAAUAUUUCAUAGAAUCAUACAGUUUUUUGAGUUGGAAGGGACCCUUAAAAGUCAACUAGUCCAACUCCCCUGUAAUUAAUAGGGACAUCCACAGCUAGAUCAGAUUUCUUAGAGUUUGUUCCAGCCUGAUCUUAAAUGUUUCUAGGGACUGGGAGUCCACCACCUCUCUGGGCAACCUGUUCCAAUGCUUCACUGCUGUUAUCAUUAAAAAAAACUUUGUUCUUAUACCCAAUCUAAAUCUCCUCUCUUUUAGUUUGAAACUAUUUCCCCUUGUCCUAUUAGAAAAGACCCUACUAAAGAGUCUGUCUCCUUCCUUCUCAUAGCUCCUUUUAAACACUGAAAGGUCACUAUCACGUUUCCCUGGAGCCUUCUGUUCUCCAAGCUGGACAGUCCCAGCUCUCUCAGCCUGUCCUCUUAAGGGAGUUGUUCCACCCCUUGGAUCUUUUUUAUGGCCCUCCUCUGGAUGCUUUCUGACAGAUCCACACCUCUCCUGUACUGAGGACUUCACAUCUGUCAUUGCUGCAGAGACCAGCUUUAGAGCAGGUAAGACUGCACUGAGUAAGGGACCUAAAGCAAAAAGGCCGACCAAAAAGCUCUUUUUAGGGCUUUUUUGAAGCUAGAAAAAGCACUGUACCAGUGCCAGGGGGCUGGCAGCUUGUGGGUGGGCUGCUGAGCCAGCAGGGGCAGAGCUGUCACUGCCCACUCUUAUCUCGUGAGUUCGACCUUGACCCUUUGCUGUGUGGCUAAAAUCAGCCUUCUGGAUGGCAGAAACAAGCUUCCACCCACUUAACACACCAGGUGAGAAAAGGGUGUUACCUUCCACUGACAAGAGGAAGGGAAGUCAGUGUGUGAGCACAGCCCACACUACCCAUACAGUACUGCAGCAGCGGGUGUGAGUGGUGGGUCUUGUGGCAGGACACAUGAGUGUUUUUUGUCUUUGCUCAGACCGGGUCUCCUAUGGACAGACCCUGAGACCACCAGUUCAAACAUGGUCUCUACCAGGCAGCAGGCUUUCCCCAUGAAAACUGUGGAGACCCAGGCAGAGGGCCUGCCCAGAAAUGCUGCCGUUCAGGUCUCUGGCUGCAGGGAGUGCCUGAGCCUGCUGCUGCCAAGGGAGGAUGGGAAGGAUCCCACCUGCGUGAGGUGCGAGCAGGUAGACAAGCUGCUCAGCCUGGUGGUGGAGCUCAGGGAGGAGGUGGAGAGAUUAAGAACUAUCAGAGAGUGCGACCUUCUAGAGGCUUGGGGCAGAGUGGCUGGAAGACUGUGUAGAGAUGGACCUGAGGGUAUUGAUUGAUGCUCAACUGAACAUGAGCCAGCAGUGUGCCCAGGUGGCCAAGAAGGCCAAUGGCAUCCUGGCUUGUAUCAGAAAUAGUGUUGCCAGCAGGAACAGGGAAGUAAUUAUCCCCCUGUACUCAGCACUGGUGAGGCUGUACCUUGAGUACUGUGUACAGUUUUGGGCCCCUCACUGUAAGAAAGACAUCGAAGCCCUGGAUCGUGUCCAGAGGAGGGCAACAAAGCUGGUGAGGGGUCUGGAGCACAGGCCUUACGAGGAGUGGCUGAAGGAGCUGGGAUUGUUCAGUCUAGAGAAGAGGAGGCUCGGGAGAGACCGAAUUGAGAACGAUUCUAUGAUUCUGUAUUCCUCUUUUCCCAAAAGACUUAAUUCAAUACUCUUCCUAAACUGGUCAUUUGUUGGAAGCAUCUAACUUUACCACUAUAUAAAAUACAUAAACCAUUUUUCAUUACAUAAACUAUUAUCUUAACAGAUCAGGAUAAGAAAUGAAAAGUUGUUUUCUUGUGACACCAGCAAGGACAUCUAUGUAGGGGAAAAAAGGGAAUGUAUUAAGAAAGUAAACAACUGAUCACAGACAUCUCGGAGAAUGUGUGGAUCUUUUACACUGAGUUAUAAUAUCAAACUGCACUAGGGCAACAAGGAAUUCAAAAGGUUAUGCUUCUUUGCAUCUGUAAAUACAUGGAUGUUUGGAAAAUAUGUUUAAUGUUUUUAAAAAAUGAUUCAGCAAAGAAAAAGAGCAGUGCAGUGAGAUAAAAAGAUGAUUUAUCCUGUGGCCAGUGUGCUUCAAAUUGACCAGAGAAAGUAAUCUAAUCAGACUUUAUUAAACUGAUUCUGCAGUACAUCCCCAGUGCCUGGAAGCAUUGUCUGAGCUGGUCUGCAGUCUAAUCCUACUUUAGGAGGUUUGCCAACUAUUUAGCCUUUUCUAAGUAGAAAUAGAGCCACAAAAAUUUAAUUACUGCUAUUUUAAUAAGGAAAAUGUAAAACGUUGAUGAUGUCUGACAUAUGAAAGAAGCUGCAUUAGUGACAACAGUAUUUAAAAAACUCUGAUCAAGCACAACCUUUUUAUUUUGAGCAAGAUAUAGCAGAUAAUGUAGGCUCAAAAACCAGCCUAAAGAGCUGCUGCCAGGUUAUAUAAUCUUUGAGCACUCAUCCAAGGCAGUCCUGAAGCCAAACACAGAGAGGAGAAUUGCUAAGGGGUUGUGUUUGCUUCAACAGUUUCCCCCACUGCAUGACAAUCUCUGCCCCAUAAGCUGGCAGUGUUGAUGGUGGCUGUUUCAGAUUUCUAUAGAAAAAUAAGCUCAAUUCAUGUAAAAUAAUGUUUCCCACAGAUGACCUAAAAAGCAUGCCCAGAAAAUAAGUGCAGACUGUUGUCAGUCCUUGCUGGCAUUUGCAGAUGUCUAAGUUUCCUUCCAUCAUCCUUUGUAUGCUAGGUUAAAUCCUAGAAAGUUGCCAUGUCUCCUGGUAAAAAGAUUGCAUGGAGAAAUUCCUCUUCAAUCACACUACAAUGAACAAAGUUCCCAUGUUACAUUAUGGCAAUAAGUCACUACUUUUCAUGCACAUCUGUCAAUUUCAGGAGGUAUUGCAUUCCCUUGGGUGCAAUCCCCUUCAGUGUUUCACUGAAGAUAGGGUUACUGCUCUGUGUGGUUUCCUUUCACACAAGAGUAAUAUAGCACUUUUUCACUGAAAAAGGUCAGAAAAUUGCAACUUGUUGAUUACACUGUUCAAGAAGUUGCUCUCUCUUUUGCAUUUUGCCUGCAGCACUGCUACUGCACAAUAUUCCACUUUGAGUCUUGGGUCUACUUGUGAUUCUGUUUGUUUCUCCUGGACAAGCAGCACUACUUGUGUAAUCCUCUGAUGCAUAUUGAUGCCUUAAGUUGCUAACUCUGGCUUCUCUCCUUCUGCAUACUUCUAUUUCUUCAUGAACUUGUCCUUCAAGGCACAUGUCAGUAUUUGUUGUGGAAUGGACAAUGGCUGCCAGUACUCAAGUACUGUCUUUCCUUUUUGCCUCAACCAGGGUGGGCUUGCAUUUAUAGCCCAGUAGGCCAACUGUAUCCUAGGCUACAUCAAGAGAGGGGUGGCCAGCAAGGCAUGGGAGGUGAUUGUUGUCCUCUACUCUGCCCUCAUGAGGCCCCAUCUGGAGUACAGAAUCCAGAUCUGGGGCCCCCAGCACAAGUGGAGCAAUUGGAGGGGGUCCGGAGGAAGUCCAUGAAGAUGAUUAGAAGGCUGGAGCAUCUCUCCAAUGAAGAAGGAGGUGUUCAAGGCCAGGUUGGAUGGAUCCUGAGCAAUCUAAUCCAGUGCUUGAUUUAGAGGUUGGCAACAUUGCCCCAUGGCAAGAAGAUUGGAACUAGACGAUCCUUAAGGUCCCUUCUAACUCAAGCCAUUCUGUGAUUCUGUGUUUCAAUGAUUCUAUGAUAGAUGUAUGUGGAAACAGGGAAGUCUUGAGUUUUCAGGGUACAAAUGAUUUAGAUUUCCAUGGAAGGAAUUUUGCCUUCCAGAGUUCAUUCUGGGAUUUAAUUCUGUUUUAAAAUCAUUUGACCAAUGCUAGCGUGCUUCCAUAAUACUCACUGAUGGGUAUUGUUUCACUUAUAUGCAUUUUACUUCAGGGAACAUUGUGAAAAUAUUUCACUUCUUAUGUCUGCAAAAAUAUGGAUUAGAAUUGCUCAAUCCAAAAAAAAGAACAAGCAAAUAAUGUCAAGUUCACAAAAUUAAAGGCAAUUAUAGACUAUUUUAUAUACAUUUAAAAAAUAAAGCAAUAAAUGGCCAGUUUUGAACAUUCUCAGUGAUCACUAGAGAUUAGCUGUUAUGUUUUAUAUUCUCUGUUAUCUUUCAAGCAGAAAACCAAAUUUCUAGCCUGUUUCUUUAAAAUUCCUAGGUUUUGUAUGUGUGGUGCUCAUUCAAUUAUUUUAUAUAUUUAUUUUGCUUGUUUGAUGGCUUUGCAUUUGGAAGGCUGCCUGAGGAGAGAUGCCUGAAGGAAAAGAGGAAAUCCAGACAACUAUAAAAAUAUCCUACAUGUUUUCACAGCAAAAAAUGCAUGGGCACAAUGGCAGAUCUCUCCCAUGUUAACGCUGCAGCUGCAUAUAACAGAGGAGACUGCAUCACUAUCACCCUGGUGUGACAUUUUUGUGAGAUGCAGUUAGUACAAUGCUGUGACAUUUACAGUGUUGUGCACUGCAUUUAGUGGCAGAUCUGCUAACAACAGCAGAUCUAUUCCUGGCCACAUAGAGUGGAAUGCUGCCUACUCACUCUCUCCUCUCUGCAUUGGUUUCCUGCCCUAAUGUACGUUACAUUUAGAACUUUGAUGUUAACUGAAGGCCAGCCAAAAAAGGACUUGGAAUCUGAAUGCUUUCAUAUUUCUGGAUAUGGGGUGGUUUUGAAUUUCCAGAUUAGUAGUAACUCAUCUGAUGUUAGUGUUGAGUUGUUUCCAGAACCAUAUGGGACCUAAUUUCUAAUGCAGCCAAGAACUUAAAGCCAAUCUGAAGAAAUGUGGGACAAGCUGACAAAAAAAAAAAGUAUCACAGGCAGAAUAACAGUGAAAGAUUUACAUCAGUUUCCCCCUCAUAAACUUUAGUCAUUUGCCUUGAAGUUACUCAGAAGUUACACCGAUGUCUAUUAUUUUCUUAUUCAGUGGUACAAAUGUUCAUACUCAUCUCAUCUGUGUAAAUAUACAUCCGUGUAAAUAUGAAAGUGAUUAGAUCAAAGAAAACUCUCUUUUUCAUUUUCCUGAAGUAACUAAUUUUAUCAGCUAAGCAUUAAGUGUACUUUUUAAAAUGAUCGUUCAUGCUUUCGCUGAUAAACAGGAGAUAACUAACUGCAUGUCCCAGGCAACUACUUUAUUGAAGUGAGAUGAAUGAUUUUCUGAAGGCUCCCUUCUUCAUGAGCUGCAGUGAUCCUAGACAGUUAUUCUAGACAUUUGGUGUUUAUACAUCUCAGUGUUUUCACACAACUCUGUGUUCCUACCCUUUGUGUAACUUUUAUAUGCAAAAACCAUUGAGCAAUGUAAAAUAUGACCCCCAUUUUAGAACAAUCCCAAGAGAAUUUUUUUUAAAAUAAAUUUCAUCUACCUGGAAAUGUUAGGACAAAAGUAAGAUUUUCAUGGUUUUCCAUUACUCCCUGUAAAAGCAGAGAAAAAAAGUCUGUUAGAUUUACGAAUAAAAGGAAAUUGGCUGAAAAGAGCUAAUUCAUAAUGAAACUAACUUGUCAGACUAUUUUCAUAGCACUAUCUGUAUAAAGAUUAAAAAAAAAACACCUCUCAUAAAAUAUUAAUGCUUUAACCUUUAAGUUAUUAGCCCUUAUAAAUUUAAACUACUGCUUACAUUGUAAAGAUGGAAAAGUUUAAGCUAACAGGAAGAGUUGAAAACAGGGCUUUAUCUUCUCUCUCCUAUGGCUGGGUUUUUAAUAUGUUAUCAUUCUUCUCUCUCUCUAAAUCAGUAAAUUAAGUGAUGUUAAUCAUCUCAAAAGCAGAUACACUUCUAGUACAUGUGUAACACACACUAAAGACACAUUUGAGCCUCCCUCACAAGAGAAAGGAUUGAUCAAAUAUAGCUCUUCAGUGUGAGGAGGCACUGGGACAUCAUUUUUUCCCAGUACCUUUCCCAAAACAGUAGCAUAAAAAACAUCUCUAAAAUGCCUGUAGUAGAAAUCAGUAUAGCCAGUAGGAUCUCAACACAACAGAUGAAACUGAAGUGCAUAAAUAGUGAAUUGCACUGCAGCCAGCUUUUUAGUUUGUGGGAGCUUCAAUUACCACAUUGUCCCCUUUACAAGGCAUGAGGAUGCAACACAUUUGUGGCAGGGUAAUGUGAGCACUCCCUGCAUCCACAUCACAGGCUGAACCCAUCACCACUCACAAAGAGCACAUGCAGCUGGGGUAAAUUCAGCCUGGACAUUUCAGUCGUCUUUGGCACCGAGGAAUGGGAAUUUUUUAAUGUAUGUUAUUCUUCUGAGGAAUGUAAAAUAUUUUCAUUUGGGACUUUUAAAUCCUCAAAUGUACACUCUGUGAACUGUUGACAUGAUGUUUUCAGGUCAAUAUAUCAACCAGAUUCCAAGAAUCCAAGAAUCAGCAGCUGCUAUUGUAAUUUUCCUAUGGGCUUCUAUUAAGUUGUUUCAAAAUUUGUGUUAAAAAUCAUGCUGGGAUAGAUCUGGAAAGGUGAAACAAGCAAGCAAAAAACUUUUGAAAAUUAUAUUUGCUAUGCACAAAUGAUUACCCAUUUGCACAUUAAUAUGCACUAUUUUGUAUGUAUGUGUAAGAGAUUAUUCUUUUAUAUCAUUGACUCAAAGUUUGCUGAGGAACAAGUCCAGGCAAGUCCUGGGCAAAGGCAGAGAAAUCUUUUGUCUUGAGGACACUGAUGGACAGGUCCUGGCUAAGGAUUGUGAAAUCCUCUAAGGAGCACAGCUGGACAAGGCCAGGGGCAUCGAGAGAGAGAUAAGCUGCUGCUAAUGGCCGGGAAACGGUCUUUUUGUGUGGACUUAUCUCAAGGAAAAUGGCCAUCUCAGGAGGUAUGCACAGGACUCUUGCUCAAGCACCCAGGAAUGUCACGUAGGCAGCAGAAAAUGGAGGAUAAAAGAGGGUCCAACAACCACGGCUAGGUGGAGGCUGAUCUCUCACCACGACACGAGCUUUCUGCCUUCAGAUCCUUCUCUACGGACCGUUUGCUGACGGACUUCCCUGGGCCUGCUACCUGAGACCUGCUGCUUCCUCCCUGACCUGCACUCUCUCGUUGCCCAAGACCGGCCUCGCUGCUCCUGCCCUUCGGCGUCGGAACGUCGUGCUACAGGACUGCUGCCGGAUUCUGGUGGUAACUAUCCCCGCUUUAUGCAAUUCUUGCCUCUUUCUAUCUUUUCCAUCGCUCGCCUUCCCUUCCCCAUCACCCCAACCCUUAAUAGUGUCCGUCCUCCCCUUUCCCCAUCUCCCUUAUUAACAUUUGUAAUAAACUGUUCGGACCAACAUUUGAACCGUUGUUUCUUAAUCUCACGCCGGGCAUACAUAUUUCAAAGAACCUCCUCUCCCUCCUAUAAAUUGGAGUGAGACAGUAUGUAAGCAGGUACUUAUAUUUAAAAUCAAUUAAAAAAUCUCCCCUAAGAAAUCAUGUCAUGUUACACACAAUUAUAUGCACAACAAUGCAUUGCACAGGGGCCUUGUAUCGCUGUUUCUUUGGCAAAGCAGUUGACUAGUACUGCAACCACAAUAACCACUCUUUCAAGGUUGUGGAAAACUCUGGAUUUCACUGCAACUCUUUCCUCCCUGAAUAUUCAGAUUUCUCUUUAAAGUUAAGGAGGACGUAUGAGGGCAUGAUGUGCAUACAGGUAACAUUCUGAUAUAAAGGCUUUUUUUCAUACAGCUGAGAUGCAGGCAGUGGUUUGGCUGUGAACACAUUGAAGAGGAGAACUUAUUUAAGAGUGAACUCAGGUCAUAUGUUUCUAAACAUUCUUCAGCAAACAUUAGGCAUCUUAACAGUGUAUGAUGGCCUUGUCUUCCUGCGUAGACUUGACUGAAUAAAGAAUGAUCCCUUAGAUAACAAGAAUUUACCUACAGGCUCUAUAGGAUUCCUAUAUUUAGCCAUAAACAACGGCAGUAACAGAACAUACUGUAUUUUCCUUCUGCUCCAGUUAGUGUUAAGUGUUACAAAAAUUAACUGAUACAGACUGUUAUAUUCUUUGCACCAAAAUCUUUGUGGAAAGUGACAUCGCCAUGUGCUUUGUAACUAGCGAGACAUUUUUUUUCCCCCAUGUACUUUGUUUCUAAAUAAAGCAACAACUAUUUUG
rnacentral:lncRNA from 1 species